UAAUACCGGAUAGGAGCGUCCACCGCAUGGUGGGUGUUGGAAAGAUUUAUCGGUUUUGGAUGGACUCGCGGCCUAUCAGCUUGUUGGUGGGGUAAUGGCCUACCAAGGCGACGAUCCAUAGCUGGUCUGAGAGGAUGAUCAGCCACAUCGGGACUGAGACACGGCCCGAACUCCUACGGGAGGCAGCAGUGGGGAAUAUUGGACAAUGGGCGCAAGCCUGAUCCAGCCAUGCCGCGUGAGUGAUGAAGGCCCUAGGGUUGUAAAACUCUUUCAGUGGUGAAGAUAAUGACGGUAACCACAGAAGAAGCUCCGGCUAACUCCGUGCCAGCAGCCGCGGUAAUAC
rnacentral:rRNA from 1 species